UUGAUAGUUUUGGAAACUGAAGAGCUCUAAUCAUCCACAGAACAGGUACAAUAUAGCCAAUGGCAGUAGAAAUGAUUUCAUAAUGUCGUGCAAAAUGCACCUCAGAUAGGUUUCUUAGGAACAUCAUGGGAUAUACAGAUUUUAAGGCUCCUUCUUGUUCAGUCUACU
rnacentral:sRNA from 1 species